AGCCUACACCAAGGGAAGAGUCAGGGGAGAAGGAACACAAGACUCCGGAAGCAUGCCAGCGUAUAAAACCGUCAGGAGCAAUGGCUGACGCCUGUAAUCCCAGCAUUUUGGGGGCCUAAUCGGGCAGAUUGCUUGAUGCCAGGAGUUCGAGACCAGCCUGGCCAACACGGUAAAGCCGCGUCUCUACUAAAAAUACAAAAAUUAGCCAGAACUGCACAAACAAGCCAGAAACUGAACCCUACCCGGAAUCCCCUGGUGUAUGAAGGGAGCCUAGCUCUGGCUGACUCUGCUUGUGUUCACAGACACUUUGCCUCAUUGGUUCGUGCCUCAGCUUCCAAUCUGGACAUGGAGCACAAUAACAGUGGGCCCACUGCUCUCCGAAUUCCUGCGCGCACUUGAAGGGAGUGUCUGGUGCAGGCAUGCAGGGAGGAAGAAUGACUCUGAGCUUGACCAUUCAACUUCGAAACUUUAACAUCAAUGGAUCAGCACACACUGGUGUACGGUCUGCUAUGCAUGCAGCCCUGUGCUAGGCAAAAGAAGUAUCAGACCAGGAACUGACAGCCUCACUGCAACAGGAAGAGAGGCUUCACACAAUAAGCGUUUCAUUCAACCAGGCUGGACCUGUGCUUAUUGAGUUGAACAUCACUGAGCACAAAAUGCAAGCCAGACACCAUAAGAGCUGUAAGGAUGAUAAAGAUGUCUUUCUACCCUCGAGAGCUCUAAGUGUGGUCAGGAGAGAAACACAUGCAAAGAUUAUGCUGGCUGGAAGGAAAUGCUGGAAUGAAGGUGGAAGGUACAUCCAGAAUGUUCUGGGGGUGAGGAAUAGCGAAUGAUGGGUUCUGACUUAGAACAUGAAGGGAAGGUAUUAAGAAAGAGGUGAUAUUAAG
rnacentral:lncRNA from 1 species